UAAUUUAAAGCUUUAUUAGUAAAGCAUUUCAUUUACACUGAAAGGAUUAUUGUGCGAGUCAAUAUAAAUUAA
rnacentral:tRNA from 1 species